CUACGGGGCGCUGCAGUGGGGAAUAUUGCACAAUGGAGGAAACUCUGAUGCAGCAACGCCGCGUGGAGGAUGACACUUUUCGGAGCGUAAACUCCUUUUAUAUAGGAAGAGGAUGACGGUACUAUAUGAAUAAGCGCCGGCUAACUCCGUGCCAGCAGCCGCGGUAAUACGGAGGGCGCAAGCGUUACUCGGAAUCACUGGGCGUAAAGAGCGUGUAGGCGGAUUAAAAAGUCAGAAGUGAAAUCCUAUAGCUUAACUAUAGAACUGCUUCUGAAACUCUUAAUCUAGAAUGUGGGAGAGGUAGAUGGAAUUUCUGGUGUAGGGGUAAUAUCCGUAGAGAUCAGAAGGAAUACCGAUUGCGAAGGCGAUCUACUAGAACAUUAUUGACGCUGAGACGCGAAAGCGUGGGGAGCAAACAGGAUUAGAUACCCCUGUAGUC
rnacentral:rRNA from 1 species